rnacentral:misc_RNA from 1 species
UCUCCGUAGGUGAACCUGCGGAGGGAUCAUUACAGAGUUCAUGCCCUACCGGGUAGGUCUCCCACCCUAUGUUAUUAUUACUUUGUUGCUUUGGCGGGCCGUUAGGCUCCGGCCCGACUACCGGCCCCGGCUGGUAAGCGCCCGCCAGAGGACCCAAAACCCUGAAUAUUAGUGUCGUCUGAGUACUAUAUAAUAGUUAAAACUUUCAACAACGGAUCUCUUGGUUCUG